rnacentral:tRNA from 1 species
GCCUCAGUGGCCAAGUGGUAAGGCGUCGCUCUCGUAAACCGAAGAUCAUCGGUUCGAACCCCAUCUGCGGCU